UUCACGAAAUUAGUAAAAUAAUGUUAAAAUUAGUGCACUCUCACUUUUGCCCCCGAGCGCCCACACAUAUAUACAUUAUAUGUGCAUACCGCAAGCGGGGCGUAGAAAGUAAAACUAGAACUAAUAUACAAUAAGGGGCGAAUUAUAGAUGUAUGGUAACCAUCAUGGUAUCGUUAAAGAAAGCAAGCAAUCGAUGGAACAAAAAAGUUCAUGUUCAUGAAAAUAGAGAAAACAAGGAAUGUAUUUUUUCCAAAGGCACAUCUUAAGUCUUACUCUUAUUAGGUUAUAUUUUAUAAGCCAAGUAAAGAACCAAAAAUGUUCCUAGCAGAAAGAUUAGUGAAUAGAAAACCAUCAUAUAUGGAUAACUACAUCGUGGCCUAAAACUUAUUCCUAUAAUGUGACAUUCUCCUGUGGCUUAACACAGGAAGCAGACGCUGAAGUGGAUCCACACGAUGAUGAAUGCUUCUUGGGAUAGUCAUAUCCACAGGCACGACCCCAAUUACAUAGACCUAUAUUUUCAUAAUUUCAAUACACCUUUCCCUGUUUCCAAAAAACUUACGGUGAUGAAUAUCACAAAAAUAAAAAUACAUGACCAUCAUAGCUUCUUUUUGUAAUUGAUACAACCAACAUGCUAUCAUUUAAAGAUUCAUUGAUUGAAAUAACAUAAAAGGAACAAUGCUUCACGUCAGAUUUUAGAGAUUUAAAUACUUCGGGGGCCUAUUGGUAGAGCAACAUCAUUGAGAACACAAGGUUCUCCUUUUUGGAGUAUAAUCCUCUGUGGUUUCAGUUUUUUCCUUGCCUUUUGGUGCCUAUUUAUAUCGUAAAGCACUGAUAAUAUCAGAUACCUUGCAAAGAAUUACCAACAUAUGAAAAAACUUGAGGUUAAAAGUUACUAAUUAGGUAUCAUUGUAUAUAACAUUGUACCCACUCAAUAAACAUUUUUUGAGGCAAAAAUGAGAAAUUUUCGGUUGUUACCAGAGGCAAUGAAAGGUGCGAUUGAGUCAAAUUCACAGCUUCUUUGUGGUUACUCAUCGGUCCAGGAGUAAAAAUCAUGAUAGGAUUAGGGUGGUGAAACCUACAGGAUACACCAUAACUGCACAUGCCAGUACGCAUGUAGAAAGAACAAUUCAUCUUGCCCUGGUCACAAAGGUAAUACAGUUUUUGACAGACCAAUUAUCCCUAACAUGCUCUGCAACUCUCAUAGAUCAUUUAAUUAGAUCAUUAAUUAGCACGGUAGACAAGAUCUAUUGAAAUAAAUUACCAAUCUUUUAGUAUAACCAAGAUAGUUAACUUGCAAGGGAAGAUUGUUAGCCUCUAAUAUGGAGUGAUUGAAUCUACAUGAAUCCCCAUAUUUGCAAAGACCAGCUGGGUAAAACUGCAGCACGUGUGAAAAGGUAAGAAGCAUGUAAAACUAUAAAGGAACUCUCUUAAUGGUAAUAUGCAUAUAUAAUGUUAAUGCAUAUAACGAAUUUACCUCUGGGUGUAACUUUCUUAUGUGAUCAGUUCAAGUGACAUACAUCAAAUUUUGACCUCAAAAUUAUAUAUACUGAAUUUCAAAGCGUUAACAUGAUCUGUUAAGACAUGUACUUUAAGUUGUUCUCUUCUAAAGUAUACUCCUUAGCAAUUUCAACUUUUUCAUGCCAGUUUUUACCAUAAAGUCACUAUAUCAACUUAUACCUUGCAAUGAAAUCUUUGUCAUGUAAAUUGAGAUGAUUGAGUUGAUUCUACAAUAUUUUUGCUAUUAUUCAUUGAUCCAAGAUGCAGGACCAUGAGAAGGUCACAGUGGUGAAACCGAUCAAUGAUGUUUGUAAAUGAACCAAAUGAACACGAACAAGGGCAUGUUCGUGUUCACUCAUUUAACUUUAACCAACCACGGACAGUUAAAUAAACGGAUCUUCAUGUUUGUGUUCGUUCAUUAACAUUCUUAACGAACAGUUCAUGAACUUUUGUAUUAAAAAAUAUAAUACGUACGUACAAUGUAUAUGCAUAUAUAUGGUACUUUUGUAUUAAUAUUUAAACGAACGGACGUAAACGAACUGACGUGACAUGUGUUCAUGUUUGUUCGUUUAAUUAAAUGAACAAAUUUUUUUUGUUCAUGUUCGUCCGCUUAUUAAAUAAACGAACUUGCCACUAAACAAUUCAAUAAACGUUCAGUCCGUUUACAUGCCUACUACAGAAUGCACCAUAACCACCCAUACAAGUACGGAUGUAGAACGAACAGUUCAUCUUGCCCUGGUCAAGAAGAUAAUACAAUUUACUACAGGGCAUUUACCUCUAAAUAUGUUCUGCAAAUGAACUCUCAUAAACGAAUUUAUCAAAUCAUUAAUUAGCACAAUAGAAAAUAUCAAAAUAAGAGGAUUCCUUCAUCUUGAAAGGUUGCCCUCCUUUGUAUUUUUUAAACAUUUUUUACACCUAUACACCACCAAAUCUUGCAAUUGUAAGGAUUUUAUAUAAGGGAGAGUGACGUGCCUAAGCCCGUGAGACGAACUUGAUCGAUGUAAAAAGUUAAAGGGAGCAGGUAUCAAAUGAUGGAGGUAUAUUCCAACUUAGAGCUCUAUAAUUCCACUUUGGAAGUGAAGGAAAAAAAAUCGUAGAAGCCUACGCUCAUGAUAUCCCAUAGAUUAAUGCCAACCGUAGUGAUUUUGAAAAAAAGAGUAGAUCCACACUUGCAGAGGCAUGCUACAUUGUCAUGGAACAGAUGAUUGUUGCAGGAACUGAGAACACCAGAUCGUGUUCUGUAAUUAUAGCAUUUUCUUAUUAGACAAGUAGAUGAAUAUAUGCAACCUUCUUUAGUGGAUUUAAAAAUCGACAGACAAACGAGGCCAAUGAUGCUGGAUUGGUUUUUCAGGAAGCUCACACGAGAUGGAGGUACUAUGCUCAGAAGGUUCAUAAUUUCCUCGCUUAAUCGACCUUUCUUCCGAAAAAAUGUUAUUAUUAGUGCCUAAUGAAGUUAUCUGGAUGAGGAAAUAUCACCUGCUGCUAUACCUCAAUCUACAAAAAUCCUUGUUAAUGGUAGUUGGGUAGGGAUCCACGGCAAUGCCCCCGAGCUCUUGGUGAGGACCCUGAGACGACAUGUGUGAUUUUCUUAUCUUAGCAUGGCUGAUUAAGGGUGGUGUUAGAAUAAUGGAACUGUUAAUUGAUUUUUAAUAUUAAAGGUUGAUGUAAACACCCAAGUUGGAGUGAUAAGAGACGUUCGUUUAAAAAAAGAAAGCAUUGAGAGUUAUUGCAGAACACUUGUCUACUAAAGAAGUAGAAGUGAUUAAAGAUAUGUUUACAUUGAUGGUGAUGGGAAAGUUACAUUUGAUAAAGUAUUAAAGAAAGUCGGUUCACAAUUGUCUUAAUCUGAGAUCUGACUGCUCAUGGAUGUGGUAAUGCUAAAAGAUUGUGAAUGCUAAACUUCUACCAUUUGUUCAUACUUUAGGCUGAUGUUGAUGGCAAUGGCGUACAGCGUGCCAGAGUGUGGAGAGUUUGUACUUUGUGGCAGUGACAAUUCAUUUGCAGAUGAGCAUCUACACAAAGCGUUUUUAUGUUUUUUUUUUGAUGAAGAUGGAAGCGGUUAUUUUGAGCUUGAUGAGCUAGAACAAGUGCUGUAUGAACCUGGUCAUGCAGACAUGCGAGUACUCAAUGAAAGCAUGAAACAAAGAAGUUGAUACAGUUGACAAGGAUGGUCAAAUCAGUUUCAAGGAAUUUUCAUCAUCGGGAACAGAUUGGAGGAAGGCAUCACGACAAUAUUCGAGAGAGUGAUUCAAGAGCUUGAGUGUAAACUUGAUGAAAGAUGGAUCGAUGCGGCUCAAGCACGGGUUGACCGGUCAAAGUGUUGCAGGUUGAAGUAAUGAAGUACACAAUAUUCUUUUAUUUUUUAUGUCUUCAGACCAUGCAUAGUAGUAAAGGAAGACCCUUGGGCAUUAUCCGCCAUGUGGUGGUUCAGUCAGCAAUGGGGCAUU